GAACCACUUAGGAUGACUGACAGACUUGAGCUGAAGAGGAAGAUUACAACCACCAGUGAUAGACAUCUCAAUACCAAGACCCCUGCCUCUAAGGAAGAACACCUGAACCCUCGCAUUUGUUUUAACUGGUUCUUGGACACCUGAGAGGACUGGUACACCAGACUACAGUCCUCAAUAAGAACUCCCAGGCCUCAAGCAAAGAUGAGACUCUCUCCUUUCUUUUCUGAGUCUCCCAGACACUGCCCGCACCUGCACUGUCUCUAUACCUUCAAUAAACUCUGCUUUCACCUCC